rnacentral:rRNA from 1 species
CCUACGGGAUGCAGCAGUGGGGAAUAUUGGACAAUGGGCGAAAGCCUGAUCCAGCCAUGCCGCGUGUGUGAAGAAGGCCUUCGGGUUGUAAAGCACUUUCAGUGGGGAAGAAAGCCUUGGGGCUAAUACCCUCGAGGAAGGACAUCACCCACAGAAGAAGCACCGGCUAACUCCGUGCCAGCAGCCGCGGUAAUACGGAGGGUGCGAGCGUUAAUCGGAAUUACUGGGCGUAAAGCGCGCGUAGGCGGUCUGAUAAGCCGGUUGUGAAAGCCCCGGGCUCAACCUGGGAACGGCAUCCGGAACUGUCCGGCUAGAGUGCAGGAGAGGAAGGUAGAAUUCCCGGUGUAGCGGUGAAAUGCGUAGAGAUCGGGAGGAAUACCAGUGGCGAAGGCGGCCUUCUGGACUGACACUGACGCUGAGGUGCGAAAGCGUGGGUAGCAAACAGGAUUAGAUACCCCUGUAGUC